rnacentral:tRNA from 1 species
GGGAGCGUAGCUUAACCUGGGAAAGCACUAGGCUGAAGACCUAGGCAUCGUGGGUUCAAAUCCCACCGCUCCCA